AUUGAACGCUGGCGGCAUGCUUUACACAUGCAAGUCGAACGGCAGCGCGGGCUUCGGCCUGGCGGCGCGUGGCGAACGGGUGAGUAAUGCAUCGGAACGUGCCCAGUCGUGGGGGAUAGCCCGGCGAAAGCCGGCUUAAUACCGCAUACGACCUGAGGGUGAACGCGGGGGACCGAAAGGCCUCGCGCUAUUGGAGCGGCCGAUGUCGGAUUAGCUAGUUGGUGGGGUAAAGGCUUACCAAGGCGACGAUCCGUAGCUGGUCUGAGAGGACGACCAGCCACACUGGGACUGAGACACGGCCCAGACUCCUACGGGAGGCAGCAGUGGGGAAUUUUGGACAAUGGGGGCAACCCUGAUCCAGCCAUGCCGCGUGCGGGAAGAAGGCCUUCGGGUUGUAAACCGCUUUUGUUCGGGAAGAAAUCCUCUGGGCUAAUACCCCGGGGGGAUGACGGUACCGGAAGAAUAAGCACCGGCUAACUACGUG
rnacentral:rRNA from 1 species